rnacentral:rRNA from 1 species
GAUGAACGCUGGCGGCGUGCCUAAUACAUGCAAGUCGAGCGAACGGACGAGAAGCUUGCUUCUCUGAUGUUAGCGGCGGACGGGUGAUUAACACGUGGAUAACCUACCUAUAAGACUGGGAUAACUUCGGGAAACCGGAGCUAAUACCGGAUAAUAUUUUGAACCGCAUGGUUCAAAAGUGAAAGACGGUCUUGCUGUCACUUAUAGAUGGAUCCGCGCUGGAUUAGCUAGUUGGUAAGGUAACGGCUUACCAAGGCAACGAUGCAUAGCCGACCUGAGAGGGUGAUCGGCCACACUGGAAUUGAGACACGGUCCAGACUCCUACGGGAGGCAGCAGUAGGGAAUCUUCCGCAAUGGGCGAAAGCCUGACGGAGCAACGCCGCGUGAGUGAUGAAGGUCUUCGGAUCGUAAAACUCUGUUAUUAGGGAAGAACAUAUGUGUAAGUAACUGUGCACAUCUUGACGGUACCUAAUCAGAAAGCCACGGCUAACUACGUG